rnacentral:rRNA from 1 species
AUCCGGAAACGGGUGCGUAAUACCGCAUAGUUUUCUUGAUUGCAUGAUUGAGAAGGAAAGACGGGCCUUUGUGCUGUCGCUUAUGGAUGGACCCGCGGCGUAUUAGUUAGUUGGUGAGGUAACGGCUCACCAAGACGAUGAUACGUAGCCGACCUGAGAGGGUGAUCGGCCACAUUGGGACUGAGACACGGCCCAAACUCCUACGGGAGGCAGCAGUAGGGAAUCUUCCGCAAUGGACGAAAGUCUGACGGAGCAACGCCGCGUGAGUGAAGAAGGGUUUUUUCCGGGAUCGUAAAACUCUGUUGUCAGAGAAGUAACAGGUUGGAGAGUAACUGCUCCAGCCUUGACGGUAUCUGACCAGAAAGCCACGGCUAACUACGUGCCAGCCGCAGC